UUGCACACUGGGGAUCGGACC
rnacentral:piRNA from 1 species